GUAGAAACCCAUCCACCUGUUUAUUCACUGAUGACCCAGGAGAUUCUAUACGACCUCCCAUGCUUCAUGGAUUAGUUUCUGCACAAGGACUAGAGCAUGGGAGGUCAUAUAGAAUCUCCUGGGGCAUCAGUGGAUAAUGAGGUGCAUGGGUUUCUGC